AAAGUACUCCCUCCAUCUCAAAAAAAUUGUCUUAGAUUUGUCUAGAUAUGAAUGUAUCUAGUCACAUUUUAGUAUUUUGAUACAUACAUUUCUAGACAAACCUAAGACAANNNNNUUGGAACGGAGGGAGUAGUAU
rfam:Hordeum vulgare subsp. vulgare, WGS project CAJW01000000 data, contig: morex_contig_1909055